GAUGAAACGCUGGCGGUAUGCCUAACACAUGCAAGUCGUACGAGAGUUUUUAACUCUAGUGGCGGACGGGUGAGUAACACGUGAGAAUUUGCCUUUAGGAGGGGGAUAACAAUUGGAAACGAAUGCUAAUACCCCAUAUGCUUUUGAGUGAAACGGAUUUAUCCGCCUAGAGAGAAGCUCGCGGCUGAUUAGCUUGUUGGUAAGGUAAAAGCUUACCAAGGCUAUGACGGUUAGGGGUCCCGAGAGGGAUAACCCCCCACACUGGAACUGAGACACGGUCCAGACUCCUACGGGAGGCAGCAGGUGGGGAAUAUUGGACAAUGGGCGAAAGCCUGAUCCAGCAAUGCCGCGUGAGUGAUGAAGGCCUUCGGGUCGUAAAGCUCUUUUACCAGGGAUGAUAAUGACAGUACCUGGAGAAUAAGCUCCGGCUAACUCCGUG
rnacentral:rRNA from 1 species